rnacentral:rRNA from 1 species
UACGGGGGGGGGCAAGCGUUGUUCGGAAUUACUGGGCGUAAAGGGCGCGUAGGCGGCCCUCUAAGUCAGACGUGAAAUCCCUCGGCUCAACCGGGGAACUGCGUCUGAUACUGGAGGGCUUGAAUCCGGGAGAGGGGUGUGGAAUUCCAGGUGUAGCGGUGAAAUGCGUAGAUAUCUGGAGGAACACCGGUGGCGAAGGCGGCAUCCUGGACCGGUAUUGACGCUGAGGCGGCGAAAAGCUAGGGGAGCCAAACGGG